GGAAUAUUGGACAAUGGGCGCAAGCCUAAUCCAGCCAUGCCGCGUGCAGGAUGAAGCAUCUAUGGUGUGUAAACUGCUUUUGUACGGGAAGAAACACCUCUUCGUGAAGAGGCUUGACGGUACCGUAAGGAUAAGGACCGGCUAACUCCGUGCCAGCAGCCGCGGUAAUACGGAGGGUCCGAGCGUUAUCCGGAAUCAUUGGGUUUAAAGGGUCCGUAGGCGGCUUUAUAAGUCAGUGGUGAAAUCCGGCAGCUCAACUGUCGAACUGCCAUUGAUACUGUAGGGCUUGAAUUAUUGUGAAGUAACUAGAAUAUGUAGUGUAGCGGUGAAAUGCUUAGAUAUUACAUGGAAUACCAAUUGCGAAGGCAGGUUACUAACAAUACAUUGACGCUGAUGGACGAAAGCGUGGGGAGCGAACAGGAUUAGAUACCCUUG
rnacentral:rRNA from 1 species